rnacentral:tRNA from 4 species
GCGCCCGUAGCUCAGCUGGAUAGAGCGUCUGACUACGGAUCAGAAGGCCGGGGGUUCGAAUCCCUUCGGGCGCACCA